AGCAGCCGCGGUAAUCCAGCUCCAUAGCGUAUAUAAGUUGUGCAGUAAGCUCGUAGUUGAUUUUGGAUCAGUACGCUGGUCAUGCUUGGUAUGCACUGUGUCACUGGUUUCUCCUUUCGAGAACGUGAUGUCAUUAAUUGGUGUCGCGGGAAUCAGGGACUGUUACUUUGAAAAAUUGAGUGUUUAAGCAGGCUCACGCUGAAUACAUUGCAUGGAAUAAUGA
rnacentral:rRNA from 1 species